GAUGAACGCUGACAGAAUGCUUAACACAUGCAAGUCUUUGGCGAAUCUGUGCUUGCACAGGCUAGCCAAGGCGGACGGGUGAGUAACGCGUAAAGAACUUGCCCUGCAGACAGGGAUAACAGACGGAAACGACUGAUAACACCUGAUACAGUUGCCGGCACGCAUGUGCCUGGCAAUGAAAAGAGAUGCUGCAGGAGAGCUUUGCGUCCUAUUAGCUUGUUGGUGAGGUGACGGCUCACCAAGGCGAUGAUAGGUAGCCGGCCUGAGAGGGUGAACGGCCACAAGGGACUGAGAUACGGCCCUUACUCCUACGGGAGGCAGCAGUGGGGAAUAUUGGACAAUGGGGGCAACCCUGAUCCAGCAAUUCUGUGUGCACGAAGAAGGUUUUCGGAUUGUAAAGUGCUUUCAGCAGGGAAGAAGAAAGUGACGGUACCUGCAGAAGAAGCGACGGCUAAAUACGUG
rnacentral:rRNA from 1 species